ensembl:lncRNA
GCUAGGGAAGGCCUGAGCCUCGGAACCGGGGUGAUGGCAACACCUGGCAAACACUUCUGGUGGGAAGCACGUUAGCGCAGUGUUUUGUCUGGCGGUACCUAAAUGGCUUUAACAGCCUGCCUUCUAGCUGCUUAGCUGUUUUCUGCCCAAAUUAUGUUUUCAGCAUCCUGGAUCUAGGCUAAAGCAGAGCCUGCAAAGCCCUUCUGAUGGAGCUCCGCAGGAUUUGGAAGCAGCCUCACCUGUCAAUGAGCCAGCAAGGGAUUCAUCACGGGAUCCCUCUCAGCAAUGCUGCAUGAGAAGAAGAUCCACGCCUGUCCCUGCAGAUGUGCUCCA